GAGCUGCUUGACAAUGCGAAGUCUGAGGCCUUCGCGAGGCUACAGAAACCUGUUCCCAGCCAUGUGGUUGUCUGCUGCUCCCUCACGCUGCGCUGGCAAUUUUCAAAGCUGUCUAUUAUCAGCACGUUAAUAACCUUUCAUAAUGUUUAAUUACUUGGAAAGGUAAUCAGUCCUGGGGUAAUUAUUUAAGAGGCAUGCCCACUUUGUUCGCUCCUGGCAAAGACUUCUGUUCCCUUUUCUCUUCUCCCAUUCUUCAGAUAAAUGCGGCAUGACUGACAGUGCUCCGCGGCAGCAUCUAUUUGUGUACGAAGCAGGCUCAGGGCUGUAACCCUUCCCCUAACUGGCCUCCCCACUCCCACAAGCCUCCUCAAAUCUACAAGCCAGCUUAACCGUAACGUCUGCACAUCUUAGCUCCUGCCGUACCGGGUUUCCGAAAAGCAGACCAAGCCAAUUUUGUUUCAGUCUGGUUCUGGCCUUGUUCCUCACAAACCAAGAGACCUGCCGCUGGCCCUGAUCCUUCCACAGAGCCCAGCAGUUUCCAUGAGGUGGUUAGACAUCAACUAACGCUAAACCCAGACUUGGAGCUAAACAUUCAAAAUGGGAGGUGGAUGCCUGCAAACAUCAGGAGUCAUUAAUCAAACUUUAUAUUAUAUAGCACUUUAAAAUGCUAUAUAGCUACUUUGCAAGCCUUAGCUCACCCACAAGCAAUAAAAAAUUAAAACUACCCAUAAUUGGAUAAGCCAUUGUUAUUUGUAUUUUUAACAGACUGGAAACUCAGGAUAUGUUUAUUUAUUUGCUUACUAUUUUUUAAUCCUGCUUGUUAGAAAAUUAUUUUCCCCCUAAGGGGCAGGGGGAGAGAAGUCCUGCAAUCAAGAAAAGGAGAUGGGGAUGAGACUGUAGCUACAUACAUACCAUGCAUUUAAAGCACAUAACUUGACCCAAAGAAGCCAGGGAACUGUAGUUUGACACACUACAGUUCCCAAGCUUCUUUCGGGGAAAUAAUGUGCUUAAAUGUAUAGUGUUCACACAGCCAGAGAAAGAGGGAGAGGUCAUGCCAUCAGGCAUACAGAAAAUAUGACAUACAAGCUAAGGGGAGUGGAAGAAAAAGUUAGAGUGGCAUCAGUUCUGAGAAACAGCUGAGGUGCAGUGGGAGGCAGGGCUUUCUGUGCUGAUGGCCUUCCUUGAAUAGCAGGUGGAGGCCCUUGUUCAUUUGGCCAAUGAAUGGGGCCAGAGUCCUUUCCCCUUUGGUUCCACAAUCCCAGGGUUAAUGGUGGCUGCAGCAGGGUCUUUUUUGUGGAAGGGAAGGGGAAUCUCCCUGCAGCUGCAGUCUGCUGAUGGAGGGGGAGAAGAUUGGUUUUUCCCUUCCUACGAUGAUCUUUCUUGGAGGGAGUGGGUGCCCUUCAGAUGUUUUGGACCAUUCCCAUCAGGCCCAAUAGAAAUUGUAGUCCAAAACAUCUGAAGAUUUAGAAACUUGUUGAUUAGAAUAUUCGUGUGAGAUUGUAUGGGAAAAAUACAGAAUAACAGAUACAAUCUUGCUUAAAAUUUAUAUAGGAAGCGCAGUGUAAGCGAUGGAAGUCAAUCAACGAAAUUUUAUUAUUGAGAUUUGUAGAAUAAAUUUGGAAGAAAUUCUUCUAACUUUUCUUCUUCUCUUUAUUUUUUUUCUUUUUCUUUCUUCAUUUCUUUCUUUUUUCUCUUUUGUUCUUUUUAUAUAUGUGUGCUUAUCUGAAAUAUGUAUAUAUGUAUGUAUGUAUUUGCAAUAUUUUGCUUAUAUUUUGUAAUAAUUAUGUUAAAUAAAUUAAAUUUAAAAAAUACAAUAGUCUAUUAAAUAUUUAAAGCUAAAAAACAAACAAACCAAACAUCUGGUGCAUACCAGGCUGGCCACAUCUGCUGCAUUGUCUUAAUUUUAUUUCCUCGGUAGAGCUAAACCAAAAAUUUGGAGAGUGCACUUAACAACAGAUCUCGGGGGAAGAGCUGAAUUCACAGUCAAAAGCAUCAUAACUUGCCAACACAGUAGCAGCAUUUAAAUGAAUAUAGGUAUUGUGAAGCAUAAUCCAUACUGCUUAUCUUUGGCUUACUCUGGGUUUUGUGGGACAAUUCUUUGCAGUCCUACCUGUAGCUGUUUUUCACUUUUGAGGACAAGGUUGCCGUUGUUAUUAAGGUGUUGUCUCCACGAAGGAAAGUCAUUUCUUGGGAGCGAUGAAAUGCGGGGGUGUAGAUAACUCAGUCAUGAGAAUGAACUUGUUUGCUGUGUUUUCUUUCUACUAGUUGUUUCACAUCUGCAAGGAUUUCUGUGAUCCUAGAAAAUAUAUUUCCUCGCACAAAUGUGUCCAAUUGCUGAUUAUGAUGGUGCCAGGUUGCUUAUGAUGAUGUCAGGGGAUCUCUGAAGUAAUUGCCUUUGUAAUUUUUCUUACUGUCCUGUAAUUGAAUUAAACACUGGAAUUGCUACUGUUCAAAGAGCAAAUUUGGCUGCUGUUUUGGUUGCCAAUUUAGUGCUUAAUCU